rnacentral:rRNA from 1 species
GUUGAACGCUGGCGGCAGGCCUAACACAUGCAAGUCGAACGGUAGCACAGAGAGCUUGCUCUCGGGUGACGAGUGGCGGACAGGUGAGUAAUGUCUGGGAAACUGCCCGAUGGAGGGGGAUAACUACUGGAAACGGUAGCUAAUACCGCAUAACGUCGCAAGACCAAAGUGGGGGACCUUCGGGCCUCACACCAUCGGAUGUGCCCAGAUGGGAUUAGCUAGUAGGUGGGGUAAUGGCUCACCUAGGCGACGAUCCCUAGCUGGUCUGAGAGGAUGACCAGCCACACUGGAACUGAGACACGGUCCAGACUCCUACGGGAGGCAGCAGUGGGGAAUAUUGCACAAUGGGCGCAAGCCUGAUGCAGCCAUGCCGCGUGUAUGAAGAAGGCCUUCGGGUUGUAAAGUACUUUCAGCGGGGAGGAAGGCAGUGAAGUUAAUAACUUCACCGAUUGACGUUACCCGCAGAAGAAGCACCGGCUAACUCCGUGCCAGCCGCCGCAGUAA